ensembl:lncRNA
CUGCGUUGUGAUGACAGACACAGACUGGUUGGAAACUGGACAAAGUGCAGCAGUGUCACACAGCAACAGCAGGCCUCUCCUCAUCCCUGUUUAGCACAAGUGGGAGAGGGAGAGGUGAAGUGGAGUGGAGAUAACAUCCCCUUCGACCUGUUCGGCCGGCACUGUUGGAUGCUGAAGGCCCCACAGAGGUUCCCAGCUGCUCUCUGCAUCAGGUCACUGAUGGUCUUGGUCACUCAGGCCUGUGAAUCCAGUCCCUGAAGAACUCCAUCAUCAUCCUCUGCAGGAAUAUCGCAGCAAGCUUCCCUCUGUCACCAUAAAGUAUCACAGCCAGUCCGUCAGUCUGGUCGUAGAUGAGAUGAAAAUGAAACCAGGAACCCACAUGCAGGACAUACAGCUGAAUGGCACCUUCUCCGUGUCUAUCCAUUGCAGCCUCAAGUCUGUCAGAAGGAAGAACAAAUCAUAAGUCACAAUCAC